UCACUGUUCUCUUACAUCCACAAACAUGAGAAUUUUCUUUCAGAUUUUCAGUUCUAAAAAGCAGUUUCUUCCACCUCCAGUUCUGCUGUCAUUUCACACAUCUUACCUACUUCUAAAGAAAGAUGUUUCAGUUAGAUUCCUUUGUGUCAUGUCAAAAUUGAUUUCCUUCAUUUCAUAUAAAACAACUUUGAUUUCACCUCCCUCUUUCCUCAAAACCUAGGGAUCACCACUGCAAAAGCUUCACCAUCAGAGUGACAUAGGGAAGGAGGGUUUUUAACGGGAGCAUUCAAGCAAAAAGUAACACUUCCAUAGAGACCAAAAAUUGCCGUGCUGACCAUAUUUCAAGUCGUCAUGACAAGAAUAAUGCUGUUUGAGAGAACUUCCUGCAAUGUUGGAAAAGUUCUGCCGUGCUGUCAAAUAUGAUAACUACUAGCCACAUAUGGUUACUGACCACGUGAAAUUUACUUAGUCAAAAUGAGGAGCUGAAUUUUUAGUUUUAAAUAAUUUAAAGGGUAAACAGUCACAUGUGCUUAGUGUUCACCAUAGUGAACAGAACAGUGCUCAAAUGUAUGCUCCAUGAGGGAUGAGAUUUUUGUCUGAAUUUUUCACUGUUGUAUCCUGUAUGCUCAGUAACAUUUGUUCAAUGAGUGAAUGAAUGGGUGAUUUCUUGUUGAGAUGAAAUUCUGGGAGGAAAAAAAAAAGGGAUUGUUGUUAAUUGUAGCAUACUUUGUAAGUAAUACAAGUCUCCUUCCAGAAAUGUGUUUAGACUAUACAUGGCUCUUCUGAGAUCUUUAAUUAGGAUUCUAAGAGAGAGAUCCAAUAUUGUAAAUUAAAUUUUUGACCAUGUUGAAAACAUGCUUGAUUCUUUUGCUGUGUUUUGUUAACCAGUGGUACAAUUAUGUUAUCUAUGGAGUUAUCAUACGUAAUUAAUGAAUUAAUCAAUUUACUCAAUUCACAGGCAGAAAGAUAUUCUGUUUUCUAGUGUUGUCUACUAAUUAUGCAGUAAAUCAAGGCUUUGAAGAGUUUCAACAAUCAUUCAUUUUUUAUGAAUUAAUCUUUCUUUGGCUUUCUUCUCUAUGGGUGAACAAAUAAUGCAAACAUAGACCCAAGGAUACAUGAAGUCUGAAUGCUAAAAGCAUGCAGAAGAUAUAGCUGAAUAUAAAAAUAUAUGGGAUAAUUUCAAGUGGUGUAGUGAUGUCACUAGGCACAGACAGGGUCAAUCCGUGCCAACAGCAGGUGAGAGACCCUGUGGUACAAGGAUGGCUAAGUGUUAAGGACUUGCCUUCUUAUAAAAAGAUAGAAAAUUAAACAUGCAAUCAGCAAGAAAGAUGAAUAAGCAAUGAAUAGAAUUAACCAACAGAAUGCAUGGUUAAAGCAAUACUUUGCCCACGUUGAUAGUAAUACCUACUUAAGAAUAACUGCCAUUCUUAUUACUCCUACUGCUGCUAUUGCUGUGCUACCAUUUUGAGAACCUACUAAGUUCCAAGAACUAUAAUGCUUCACCUUGAUGAAUGUUAUUUUCUUCAUUUUGUAAAUCAAUUCUAUAUGAUUGAUGUUAAUUCCUUCAUUUUGUAGAUGAUUAAACAAGCUUAGUUUAGACUCAUUGCUUGUGAGUAGUGGAGCUGCAUUCUGACCCCAAUUAGACUCUAAAGCUCAUGCCCUUGAAAAGAAAAUGUUUGAAAUCUGCUAUUCUUAACAGCAUUCAAGUAUAGAUGCAUGGAAAUUUCUAGGUAUGUGAAAUAUAAUCCAGUUUUGAAUAUGACAUUUUAAUAAAGCUGUUUCUCUUUUUCUGAUCCAAUUGUCUGUUAAUAAUCAUGGUGUAGAGCAAAUGGAAAGCAGUCAUGUGAAUAAAUCAGGCAAGUUAGGUGUGAUACAAUAUGGAGUGGUGGGGACUGUGGCAAAAUCAAGAACAUACGGCUAUCUAAAGUUAUUAAAAUUCAUAUAAAAAUGCCAUUAUGGGUUCAAUUAUGUCUCUGCAAAAGAUAUAUGUUGAAGUCCUGACUCCUGUACCUCAGAAGGUGACCUUAUUUGGAAAUAGGUUUGCUGCAAACGUAAGUUUAAAAUAGGUCAUAGGUCAUACUGGAACAUGAUAGGGCCCUAAUCCAAUAUGGCAGGUAUACUUAUAGGAGAAGAGACAGAGGGAGAAUGCCAUAUGAAGACAGAGGAUUGGAACCAUGCAUCUACAAUCCAGGAAAUGCCAAAUAUUGCCAACAAACAACCAGAAGCUAGGAAAAGGCAAGGAAAGAUUCCUUACAAGUUUCAGGAGGAGCGUGGCCCUACUAACCCCCUGAUUGUGAACUUCUGGACUCCAGCACUGUCAGAGAAUAAACUUAUUUUAUUUUA